ACCUUGGUAGCUUAAACUUCCAAAGCACCGGUCUUGUAAGCCGGAAAUGGAGCCCAAAAACUCCCCAAGGUA
rnacentral:tRNA from 1 species